CAUGCAAGUCGAGCGAGCGGACCAACAGAUUUACUUCGGUAAUGACGUUGGGAAAGCGAGCGGCGGAUGGGUGAGUAACACGUGGGGAACCUGCCCCUAAGUCUGGGAUACCAUUUGGAAACAGGUGCUAAUACCGGAUAAUAAAGCAGAUCGCAUGAUCAGCUUUUGAAAGGCGGCGUAAGCUGUCGCUAAGGGAUGGCCCCGCGGUGCAUUAGCUAGUUGGUAAGGUAACGGCUUACCAAGGCGACGAUGCAUAGCCGAGUUGAGAGACUGAUCGGCCACAUUGGGACUGAGACACGGCCCAAACUCCUACGGGAGGCAGCAGUAGGGAAUCUUCCACAAUGGACGCAAGUCUGAUGGAGCAACGCCGCGUGAGUGAAGAAGGUUUUCGGAUCGUAAAGCUCUGUUGUUGGUGAAGAAGGAUAGAGGUAGUAACUGGCCUUUAUUUGACGGUAAUCAACCAGAAAGUCACGGCUAACUACGUGCCAGCAGCCGCGGUAAUACGUAGGUGGCAAGCGUUGUCCGGAUUUAUUGGGCGUAAAGCGAGCG
rnacentral:rRNA from 1 species